UAGGGAAGAACAAGUGCUAGUUGAAUAAGCUGGCACCUUGACGGUACCUAACCAGAAAGCCACGGCUAACUACGUGCCAGCAGCCGCGGUAAUACGUAGGUGGCAAGCGUUAUCCGGAAUUAUUGGGCGUAAAGCGCGCGCAGGUGGUUUCUUAAGUCUGAUGUGAAAGCCCACGGCUCAACCGUGGAGGGUCAUUGGAAACUGGGAGACUUGAGUGCAGAAGAGGAAAGUGGAAUUCCAUGUGUAGCGGUGAAAUGCGUAGAGAUAUGGAGGAACACCAGUGGCGAAGGCGACUUUCUGGUCUGUAACUGACACUGAGGCGCGAAAGCGUGGGGAGCAAACAGGAUUAGAUACCCGGGUAGU
rnacentral:rRNA from 1 species